rnacentral:rRNA from 1 species
CAAUAGCGUAUAUUUAAGUUGUUGCAGUUAAAAAGCUCGUAGUUGGAUUUCGGAUGGGACUUGCCGGUCCGUCGUUUCGAUGUGCACUGGCCAGUCCUAUCUUGUUGUCGGGGACUAGCUCCUGGGCUUCACUGUCCGGGACUAGGAGCUGACGAGGUUACUUUGAGUAAAUUAGAGUGUUCAAAGCAAGCCUACGCUCUGAAUACAUUAGCAUGGAAUAACACGAUAGGACUCUGGCUUAUCUUGUUGGUCUGUGAGACCAGAGUAAUGAUUAAGAGGGACAGUCGGGGGCAUUCGUAUUUCAUUGUCAGAGGUGAAAUUCUUGGAUUUAUGAAAGACGAACUUCUGCGAAAGCAGUUGUCAAGGAUGUUUUCAUUAA